UGUAUUACCACGAACCAUCACACAAAGAAUCACCCUGAAACACAUGUAUUACCACGAACCAUCACACAAAGAAUCACCCUGAAACAAAUGUAUUACAACGAACCAUCACACAAAGAAUCACCCUGAAACACAUGUAUUACAACGAACCAUCACACAAAGAAUCACCCUGAAACACAUGUAUUACAACGAACCAUCACACAAAGAAUCACCCUGAAACAAAUAUAUUUCAAAUCCCAAUGGCUUUAUUUUAUGUAUAUAGAUUUGUAUAUAUUUAUAUAUAUAUAUUUAUAACAACUUUCUUGCUUGAUUAUCAUUUUUUGUUCUGUUAAAUUCAAACUACAGGACAUAAAGACCAAGGCAUUCAACAUGAUCAUUAUUACAACAGAGUAAAGAACAAUUCAGGGUGCUUGCACAUCGUGUACACACAUACAUACAUUAUACACUUCUGUUUCUGUUAGUAGAAAGAACUCAAAUAUGGGAAACAACUGGAUCCAUUGAGACAUAGACAAGCACACACAGACAGAGAAAGAGAGAGUGAGUGAGAGAGAAUGAGAGAGAGAGUGUGUUGAGGAGAAUUGAGGAAAUAAAUCAACCAUAUUCUAGUAGCAGAAUUCUGUUGCAUAGUUUGAAGCAAACAGGUCUGACAUUUUGGCAUGAUAAUGAAUCUUAUUUACUAAAGAGGAGCUGGUGGGAAAGGACAGGGAAUGAAUGUGUGUGUUGUGUGUCUGUCAGGUGAGACACAAACUGAGGAGACGCUGCUCAAAGGCCCUUCUAGAAGAAAACAGACAGUUACUGUACCCACAGAGAAUGAGCCUCAAUACAAACCCUCACAUUUGCACAUUUACUAUUAUGCGCGCACACACACACACACACUUAACAAUUUCAGCCAAUUGAAUUCCUCCCCUAAUUUUGCUGUUGUUUCUCUUGCGUCAAUCAAAUCAACAGGCUUGCCCAUUUCAGUACCUCAGCUCUGUGGGGACACGACCAUGAAACCAAAACUAAAUUUCACAUGUAACACCAAACCAUUUUGAGUGCCUGUCAGAAUUAGUCAUGGUUGCAUUAACAUCGUUGCAGGUCAGGGCGAUGAAACAACAUCUCACCUCGAGAGAAAUGAGCAAAAAAAUGUAAAAAGCUGUCAGUGUUAACACAGCUCAAUUUAGCAAAACAAGACUGUGCUCUUUGAAAAGUUUAUACAAUUAUGUUCACACCAAGCCAACCAGAAUGAGCGAUGGAUCUCCAGAAUGACCCACGGUCACAACAACAUGCUCAGAUAAACCAAUCAGCUGCCCUCAUACCUCUCUUGCUGGCUUACUUCUGAAUCUAAGCAGGGUUUGUCCUGGUCGGUCCCUGAAUGGGAGACCAGAUGCUGUUGGAGGGCCAGUAGGAGGCACUCUUUCCUCUGGUCUAAAAGAAAUUGCCCUGUGUAGGGUAGUCUUUCGGAUGGGAUGUUAAACGGGGUCCUGAUUCUCUGUGGUCACUGAAGAUCCCAUGGCACUUAUCAUAAGAGUAGGGGUGUUAACCCCGGUGUCCUGGCUAUAUUCCCAAUCUGGCCCUCAAACCAUCAGUCACCUAAUCAUCCCCAGCUUCCAAUUGGCUCAUUCAUCCCCCUGUAACUAUUCCCCAGGUUGUUGCUGUAAAUGAGAAUGUGAUUUCAGUUACCUGAUAAAAUAAGGGUUAAAUAACAAAUAAAAACAGAACUUCCUGGUUUCAACAACAUAGCUAUGAAGAAAGACACCAACCAAGUGCUUAAGCUGAGGCACACCUGUGAUGUAAAUAGAGCCUAUCCAGCCCUCGAUAGAAUGCAACUAGCGAGAUCGAAAGAGUGGGAAAAAGAGGCGGAAAAACAGAGCCUUAAAGCGUCAACUAGAAGAAACUACCAUAAUGGUAGUAGUUGAAUAAAACUGUUGAAUAAACCAGCAAAGAAUCUCACACAUCUGAGAUGCUGCUGCUAGAAGAGAGGUGGACUGCAGUUUGGCACAGCAGCAGAUGAGCUCAGUCCUUGGAUGGAGGGAGAUGGAAUGAGAGAGGGAGAGUAAUGAGGAAAUCGAUUGAUGUGAUACAUGUAAAAUGAUGACCUGAAUAAAGAAUGCCUACCUUGUUAAAGAGUGAUUCCCCAUGGCUUUGGCUGGAUGAUGGAAUAAACAAUGAACAGCAUGGCAUCAUCAUUACUUCUCAGUCGGUGCUGAAAGAGAUUCAGCAUGGGGCUAGUGAUAAGGAUUGUUUUUUCUAAAUACCAAACAUUUUAAAUAAACAAUAUUCGUGGUUAAAUUACAAAGUGUGUUGUUUUAAAAAAGAUAUACAUUUACUGUGUUACUAUGGUGUUAUAUAGUUAAUGUAUGAAGCUUUUGUUGAGCUGGUUUUCACAUCCAUCUGCUAUGGUGAGAUGGGGUAAAGUCAGAUGGUAGACUGCGUGGUUGCUGUUAGUCCCUUAUGAAUGAACAAUGACACAGUCAACAAGUACCUUAGUUAAUAUCCAGGUAGUAAUCGUUCCACACUAGUGAUGAAGUACUCAACAGGGACAUGUUACAGUACCUACAGAGAAAGCACCUCAUUGAACUGAUCUUUGUGAAAUUGAAUUGGAGUCCCAUUCACACAUCCACCCAUCCAUCCACCCCAUUCAUCCACCCACCCCAUCCCUCCUCCACCCCGUCCCAUCUCUCCUCCAUUCCAUCCUAUAUUUUCAAGGCAGCAUCCUCUCAGUGUGUUUCACUGGGACAGCAACUCAGUCAAAAUGUGGGAGUUUUGGAAGCAGUUAAACAUUUGGGAUGUCUCAUUCCAUACUUAAACAUGCAGAACAUUGAACAGCUAGCUUUUUUACAAAUGGCAUUUUUUUCUUCUCUCUAGUACAGCGUGGUUUAGGCUACACAGAACACGAAAGUACCAAUCCUACCAGGUUGGACAUAUUGCUUUAAACCACCAAGUUGUUUAUACAUCAUGCAUGCCACACAGAUGAUAUUAUGUUUAUACAAAAAUAACACCAGUGUCUAUUACGGUGUAUCAUAUCAAUUACAGAAAGUUAUUUUUCUGUCUUUUCGCAAUUAGAUGCAAUUGAAAAUGUAUUAAAACACAAGAACUGGUUCGGGUAAACAUCGGCCUAUGUAAAAUAAAGGGGUUAUGACUUUCAAAUGUGAUAUUCCAGUUUUCAAACCUUUUUUUAUUUACAACUGCGGAGAAGCUGCCCCAGAAGAAAUCCCCCAAACCCAAUGAAAAGAAAGCUAUCUAAGAAAGACAACGCUUUAGAGAAGCAAUGCAGUCCUUUACAGUCAACAGUUAUUGCCCAAUGCCUUGGCAUGUUUCAUUUGGUCAUACAUGAGUCAUAAUUGAAACAUGUGCAAUAAGAGGAAAGGUCUUACAGAUUGGUCAGAAGCAGCAAUGGGCUUGUCCAACAGAGAAACCAAACUGUGCCAGGACUGUCUGGCUGUUCUUUAGUUCGCCAUCCACCUCAGACAUACAGACCUGUUGGUCUGCUUCUGUAGUACAGUCGUGCCAAGGUUAAUAACAAAACAGCAAACAAACAAAAAGAUUGGGGUGUUUCUAGCGGAUGGAGUAUCUGUUCACCUACGGAAUGGAAGGGCAACCGGUUCAAUAAGAGAUCAACAACAGCACAACCAUGGCAAUAGAAGAAGGACAAUCUUAGCGACGCUUCAAGUUCUUUGCAUUCUCUGUCCACAUUUACAUGCAACAACAUUUGCUAUUUUGGGGAGAUGGAAAGUAUGGAAAUACAUUCACCUGACAAUAAUAGUUUAAAACAAUCUGGUCAAAAAGAAAAAUAAAGUAUAAAAAAAACAGCGAUUGUAGAAAACAAGACUUUGGCUGAACAUUCUUAAAGCUAUGCUGGGUGAUCACUGACUGACUGCCCCCUUUUCAUUACCUAGAGUUCAAAGUUCAAAAUCAUCCCAUGGCAAUAUUUACACAGUGUAUUCAAUGUAGAAGUGCAGUCUUCCAAAUAGAUUAUAUAAGAAGAAAAGAAAGAUUUACCAUUGAAAACGAGUCCCCAAAAUGUGUCCCGAAAAUGAGUCUCUGUCUAACAUACUGACCAAAAUGUCCGCUUGUGUGUUGGAAAAUAAAUGUCCACAUACAUGCUAUUCAAUCAUUUAAUCCAAACUGCUCAUGCGCAUCAACGGCCGUCUGCAUAGCCAGGCACUAAAAUAGAACUUGGUUCUAUUUUAGACGCUUAAUGCGCUGUAAGUCCCGCCUUACCAUCUACUCAUUGGUUUUUACAAGCAUAUACCCACGUGAGUGAUUGGAAGAUGAACAAGGUCCACACAGCCAUAUAAAAUCCACAUAAGAAAGAUGAACAAAACUAAAUAGCAACCCAAUGUUUAUCUCCCAGACAAAUUAGCUAGCAACAGCAAAUGUUUCAUGUGUGUUUCGACCUGUCCCCAAAUUAAUAUAUUAAUUAAAAGUUGGUUUUGGAAUUUUAACCUACGUGUCAUGAACGUGUCUGGUAGGGAUAGACAUGAACGUGUCUGGUAGGGAUAGACAUGAACGUGUCUGGUAGGGAUAGACAUGAACGUGUCUGGUAGGGAUA
ensembl:lncRNA